rnacentral:rRNA from 1 species
ACUGGGACUGAGACACGGCCCAGACUCCUACGGGAGGCAGCAGUAGGGAAUCUUCGGCAAUGGGGGCAACCCUGACCGAGCAACGCCGCGUGAGUGAAGAAGGUUUUCGGAUCGUAAAGCUCUGUUGUAAGUCAAGAACGAGUGUGAGAGUGGAAAGUUCACACUGUGACGGUAGCUUACCAGAAAGGGACGGCUAACUACGUGCCAGCAGCCGCGGUAAUACGUAGGUCCCGAGCGUUGUCCGGAUUUAUUGGGCGUAAAGCGAGCGCAGGCGGUUUGAUAAGUCUGAAGUUAAAGGCUGUGGCUCAACCAUAGUUCGCUUUGGAAACUGUCAAACUUGAGUGCAGAAGGGGAGAGUGGAAUUCCAUGUGUAGCGGUGAAAUGCGUAGAUAUAUGGAGGAACACCGGUGGCGAAAGCGGCUCUCUGGUCUGUAACUGACGCUGAGGCUCGAAAGCGUGGGGAGCGAACAGGAUUAGAUACCCUGGUAGUCCACGCCGUAAACGGUGGAUGCUGGAUGUGGGGACCAUUCCACGGUCUCCGUGUCGGAGCCAACGCGUUAAGCAUCCCGCCUGGGGAGUACGGCCGCAAGGCUAAAACUCAAAGAAAUUGACGGGGGCCCGCACAAGCGGCGGAGCAUGCGGAUUAAUUCGAUGCAACGCGAAGAACCUUACCUGGGCUUGACAUGUUCCCGACAGCCGUAGAGAUACGGUCUCCCUUCGGGGCGGGUUCACAGGUGGUGCAUGGUCGUCGUCAGCUCGUGUCGUGAGAUGUUGGGUUAAGUCCCGCAACGAGCGCAACCCUCGCCCUGUGUUGCCAGCACGUCGUGGUGGGAACUCACGGGGGACCGCCGGGGUCAACUCGGAGGAAGGUGGGGAUGACGUCAGAUCAUCAUGCCCCUUACGUCCAGGGCUUCACGCAUGCUACAAUGGCCGGUACAACGGGAUGCGACACUGUGAGGUGGAGCGGAUCCCUUAAAACCGGUCUCAGUUCGGAUUGGAGUCUGCAACCCGACUCCAUGAAGGCGGAGUCGCUAGUAAUCGCGGAUCAGCAACGCCGCGGUGAAUGCGUUCCCGGGCCUUGUACACACCGCCCGUCAAGUCAUGAAAGUGGGUAGCACCCGAAGCCGGUGGCCCAACCUUUUGGGGGGAGCCGUCUAAGGUGAGACUCGUGAUUGGGACUAAGUCGUAACAAGGUAGCCGUACCGGAAGGUGCGGCUG